GUUCCGGUGGCUUACUGGUUAGGGCGUCCGCCUCAGAUGAGGGAGGUCGAGGGUUCAAUCCCCGGUUGAGUCA